CACGUAGUUAGCCGGAGCUUCUUGUGGAGGUACCGUCAAUCCACACGGCUAUUCACCGGUGAACCUUCGUCCCUCCUGAAAGGGGUUUACAACCCGAAGGCCGUCUUCCCCCACGCGGCGUUGCUGCGUCACGCUUUCGCGCAUUGCGCAAGAUUCCCCACUGCUGCCUCCCGUAGGAGUCUGGGCCGUGUCUCAGUCCCAGUGUGGCUGAUCGUCCUCUCAGACCAGCUACCCAUCGUUGCCUUGGUAGGCCGUUACCCCACCAACAAGCUAAUGGGCCGCGGGCUCCUCCCAAUGCGGAGGCCGAAGCUUCCUUUAGUACAAAGGCUUACGCCUAUGCACCACAUCCGGUAUUAGCCCGAGUUUCCUCGGGUUGUCCCGGUCAUCGGGGCAGAUUACCCACGUGUUACUCACCCGUUCGCGGCUUUGCCCCAGGGCAAGCCCUGGUUCGUCGCACCACUUGCAUGUGUUAAGCACGCCGCCAGCGUCGUCCUGAGCCAGGAUCGAAACUACU
rnacentral:rRNA from 1 species